rnacentral:rRNA from 1 species
GAUUAACGCUGGCGGCGUGCCUAACACAUGCAAGUCGAACGAGGUAGCAAUACCUAGUGGCAGACGGGUGAGUAACGCGUGGUCAACCUACCGUUGAGUGGGGGAUAACUAGCCGAAAGGUUAGCUAAUACCGCAUACGUCUCCGAGUGGCAUCACUUGGCGAUAAAAGGAGCAAUCCGCUCGAUGGCGGGACCGCGUCCCACUAGCUAGA